rnacentral:rRNA from 1 species
AUCGAACGCUGGCGGGAUGCUUUACACAUGCAAGUCGAACGAGUGGCGGACGGGUGCGUAAUAUAUCGGAACGUGCCUAGUCGCGGCGGAUACCACCUCGCAAGAGUGGCUAAUACCGCACACUAUUGGAGCGGCCGAUAUGGGAUUAGCUAGUUGGUGGGGUAAAGGCUCACCAAGGCAACGAUCCGUAGCUGGUUUGAGAGGACGACCAGCCAAACUGGGACUGAGACACGGCCCAGACUCCUACGGGAGGCAGCAGUGGGGAAUUUGGGACAAUGGGGGAAAGUCGGAUGCAGCCAUACAUGUUGAUUAAGAAGGCCUUCGGGUUGUAAAGUACUGUUGACAGAGGAGCGUUAUCUGCACAGUAAGCACCGGCUAACUACGUGCCAGCCGCCGCGGUAAUAC